GGUUUUAUAGUUUAUUAAAAUAAUAAUUUUGUAAAUUAUAGAUGAAUUUUUUUCUGAAACUA
rnacentral:tRNA from 1 species